rnacentral:rRNA from 1 species
AACGAACGCUGGCGGCAGGCCUAACACAUGCAAGUCGAGCGAGGACUUCGGUCCUAGCGGCGGACGGGUGAGUAACGCGUGGGAACGUGCCCUUUGCUUCGGAAUAGCCCUGGGAAACUGGGAGUAAUACCGGAUGAGCCCUUUGGGGGAAAGAUUUAUCGGCGAAGGAUCGGCCCGCGUUGGAUUAGGUAGUUGGUGGGGUAAUGGCCUACCAAGCCGACGAUCCAUAGCUGGUUUGAGAGGAUGAUCAGCCACACUGGGACUGAGACACGGCCCAGACUCCUAGGGGAGGCAGCAGUGGGGAAUCUUAGACUAUGGGGUAAGUCCUGAUCUAGCCAUGCCGCGUGAGCGAUGAAGGCGUUAGGGAUGUAAAGCUCUUUCAGCUGGGAAGAUAAUGACGGUACCAGCAGAAGAAGCCCCGGCUAACUCCGUG